rfam:Picea glauca, whole genome shotgun sequence.
GCGUAUGUAGUCCAACGGUUAGGAUAAUUGCCUUCCAAGUAAUAGACACGUGUUCGACUCCCGGCAGACGCA